rnacentral:rRNA from 1 species
AUACGUAGGUGGCAAGCGUUGUCCGGAUUUACUGGGCGUAAAGGGUGCGUAGGCGGAUGUUUAAGUGAGAUGUGAAAUCCCCGGGCUUAACCUGGGGGCUGCAUUUCAAACUGGAUAUCUAGAGUGCAGGAGAGGAGAAUGGAAUUCCUAGUGUAGCGGUGAAAUGCGUAGAGAUUAGGAAGAACACCAGUGGCGAAGGCGAUUCUCUGGACUGUAACUGACGCUGAGGCACGAAAGCGUGGGUAGCAAACAGGAUUAGAUACCCUGGUAGUCCACGCCGUAAACGAUGAGUACUAGGUGUAGGAGGUAUCGAUCCCUUCUGUGCCGCAGUUAACACAAUAAGUACUCCGCCUGGGAAGUACGAUCGCAAGAUUAAA